rnacentral:rRNA from 1 species
UACGUAGGUGGCAAGCGUUGUCCGGAUUUACUGGGCGUAAAGAGCGCGCAGGCGGUCGUGCAAGUCGCGUGUGAAAGCCCCCGGCUCAACUGGGGAGGGUCACGCGAUACUGCUCGACUCGAAGGCAGGAGAGGGAAGUGGAAUUCCCGGUGUAGUGGUGAAAUGCGUAGAUAUCGGGAGGAACACCAGUGGCGAAGGCGACUUCCUGGCCUGUUCUUGACGCUGAGGCGCGAAAGCUAGGGUAGCAAACGGAGUAUACCGAGACCG